CAGUUAUACCACAUUGAAAUAUCGGUUCCCAUAGGAUCCCCGAAGUUAAGCAACGUUGAUCCUGUCAGUAACUAGAUGGGUGACCACUUAGCAUUACCAGGUGCUGUAA